GUCCAAUGAAGUCCUCUCUUAUCUUUUAAAAGUGGCCUUUUCACUAGUGCCUCUCAGGAAAGGAGCAACUUGGAAGAAGACCGCAUGCCUAGGUCUUUGGGAGACACAGGAUACUUGAUUUCUUUUGCCUUCCUUUGGCUGCCUACUUGC
ensembl:snoRNA